ensembl:lncRNA LINC02018 long intergenic non-protein coding RNA 2018
GGUAGAGUCCAGGUUGGCGGGUCCUGGGGCGGAGUCAGGAUAGGGCGAUCCUGGAAGCUGGGCUUCAGAAGCGUCCAGCUGGGGAAACUGAGUUACAGAGCUUUUCUGCACUGAGUCAUCAGGAGCAAAUGCUAGAUCAGAUAGGGUCUCUCUCUCUGCCACCCAGGCCAGAGUGCAGUUGACGCAGGGCAGGGGAGCCCCGAAGUGGAGCAUAGUGUGUCCGGAACUGGUGGGUUCUUGGUCUCACUGACUUCAAGAAUGAAGCCGUGGACCCUCACGGUUCAAGCGAUUCUCCUGCCUCAGCCUCCAGAGUAGCUGGAACUACAGAUGCGCACCACCACGCCCAGGCUGUGCUUCUCAGUGGCUCCCACCAGAUACCUGAUGGUCCUGUCGAUUUGCUGAAUCAUCAACUUCCUAUUCUCUGCCUCUGGCCUGAAUCGAUGUCCCACGUUAUCUGGCUCUCUGUAACACAGAGUCACAAAGUCAAAGUCUUCCUUGGUGAACCAGUUCAUGACAGUAUCGAUGUUCGCACUCCGCUCUGUCUCGUUGCUGUUUGGAGAUGAGGUCUCGCUAAUUUGCCCAGGCUGGUCCUGAACUCCUGGGUUCAACUAAUUCUCCUGCCUCAGCCUCUCAAAGUGCUGGGAUUACAGGCAUGAGACACCACGCCAGGCUGGUGAGACAGGGUUUCACCAUGUUGGCCAGGCUUGUCUUGAACUCCUGACGUCGUGAUCUGCCUGCUUUGGCCUCCCAAAGUCCUGGGAUUACAGGCAUGAGCCACCGUACCCAGCCACUCUUGAUUAACUUAAUGGAAAUAUUUACAGAGAUUCUUUCUCUUCUGGGUUCUAGCGUCUUAUCUGUAACCUCUGCAGGUGCAGGAAUGAGAGGCAGCAGCCGGGGAAGCCAGGGUCUCCGGAAGUCCUUGUCUCUGGGCGGUGAUCCAGAGAGAGAGAGAGAACACGAUUGUCUCAGCAAUGGGUCUUCUUCUGAGUCUUGAAGGAGCACUUCCAGAGCCUCUCAGUGUUAAACAUCGUGUUGUGAAUGACUCCGUGAGCUCUGACCCAGUGACCUUGGGGAUAAAGGAGGGGAGGUACGGAUAAGCUCUUCGAAUGGAUGUUGCCGGGGUGUCAGUGUUCUUUGAGGGCACAGACUAUGUGUCACUAAAGAAAGAGCCCAGUGCCUUUUCUCAUUGCUCAAGAGAUUGAAGGGGUAGUAAGAAAAGAUGUUAAGUUAUAAACACGUUUCAGUUUUGGUACCAGUUGAACCAAUUUACGUUUUGAAGAGGAAAGAGUCUUGCCUACAAUGUCAGCCCCCGGGUUUUCCUUCUGCUUAUGGAAUCCAGGCAAUGGGCAAAGAGAAAAAGAAAACUAAGGAAUCAGCCAGGUGCAGUGGCUCAUGCUUGUGAUCUUGGCACUUUGGGAAGCUGAGGCAGGUGGACUUCUUGAGUGCAGCAGUUCAAGACCAGCCUGGCCAACAUAGUGAGACCCCGUUUCUACAAAAAAUACAAAAAGUUGCUGAGCAUGGUGACAUGCACCUGUAGUCCCAGUUACUUGGGAGGCUGAGGUGGGAGAACUACUUCAUCCCAGGAGGCUGAGGCUGCAGCGAGCCAUGAUCGUGCCACUAUACUCCUGCCUGGGUGGCAGAGUGAGGCCCUGUCUCAAAAGAAAACAAAAAAGAUAAAAAGAAAACUAGGGAAUCUAGACAGCAUAAGUUUAUAUAUAUAAUAAAGAACUGAGAUAGAA